CAUAAAUAUGAAAUUAUAGUUUAUCAUCAGACACUACAAAUUGCUCUAUCGUCUCCAUCCUCCACAACAUCUAUCAUUGAUUUAAAUUGCUAGUAUUAUUAGGAGAUAUCUAACAAGAUUUCCACUAAUAGUAACAAAGAGCGAAAUUGUAGACUAAAGAUACACAAGUGCCAUAACGCAACUUAUGAAGAGUUUGCGAGAUCGUCUUUUCUUCCUGCUGCAAAGUUUGGCCUUCAUCAUUUAAAGCAUUAGCUUUCUAAGUCAACGGGUAGCUUCAAGAGUGUAAGCCUAACUAUCUUUGAUCACACGAUGUGGAAGACUCCAUCCUUCUUUUAUCUUUUCUUGAUGCUCCAACGAUAUCUUAUAUUAGUUUUGACUUUUGUAAAGAGGGGAAUGUGUAUCUAUGGGUAAAAGUAAAACUGUAAAAGAGUCAUGUAACGGCUAGAUCUAGCGGCCCAUGUGUUGCUGAUAUCGCUAGCUUUUCCCAUGGUUUUGCACAUUUGUGAAUGAUGAUGAUAUAGCUUUUUCUGGUG
rnacentral:misc_RNA from 1 species